rnacentral:rRNA from 1 species
GAUCAUGGCUCAGGAUGAACGCUAGCUACAGGCUUAACACAUGCAAGUCGAGGGGCAGCAUGGUCUUAGCUUGCUAAGGCUGAUGGCGACCGGCGCACGGGUGAGUAACACGUAUCCAACCUGCCGUCUACUCUUGGCCAGCCUUCUGAAAGGAAGAUUAAUCCAGGAUGGGAUCAUGAGUUCACAUGUCCGCAUGAUUAAAGGUAUUUCCGUUGACGA